CAGUAGCCGCGGUAAUACGAAGGGGGCUAGCGUUGCUCGGAAUGACUGGGCGUAAAGGGCGCAUAGGCGGCGAUCAAAGUCAGGCGUGAAAUUCCUGGGCUCAACCUGGGGGCUGCGCUUGAUACUUGGUUGCUUGAGUGGGGAAGAGGGUCGUGGAAUUCCCAGUGUAGAGGUGAAAUUCGUAGAUAUUGGGAAGAACACCGGUGGCGAAGGCGGCGACCUGGUCCUUGACUGACGCUGUGGCGCAAAAGCGUGGGGAGCAAACAGGAUUAGAUACCCGAGUAGUCCCUGUCUCUUAUAC
rnacentral:rRNA from 1 species